rnacentral:rRNA from 1 species
AUUCGAAAGAAGUAAGAUCCCUUGAAGACGACAAGGUAGAUAGGUCAGAAGUGGAAGUGUGGUGACACAUGGAGCGGACUGAUACUAAUCGAUCGAGGACUUAACCAA